CCCUGGGUUCAGGCACCAAUUAGCCUCAACACCCUGAUGAGCCCCAUCUGGGACCCUGUCAUCCCACCCACCUGGGGCACAGGUGCUCCAUUUAAGUUCAAGCCCAGGCCCUUCCUGCUUUUCUGCCCUGGGUAGUGCUGGGAGCAUUUCUCUGGAGGAAUUUCUACUGUUGGGACCUUGUUCCAGUUCUCAACCACCACUGCUGUCCUUCUGAAGGUGAUCCCCACCGUGUAGAAAUGAAAGUAUUUCUGGGGUUUGAUCUGGAGUCCUCUGAAGUCGGAGAAAGACUCUUUCCUCAAAGUGAUCCUGUAGCAGUUAGUACUGGACUGAGAGAGGCUUAAUAAUUUACAGAGCAAAAUUCCCACUGCUGUCUGUUUGUUAUUCAAACAUGCUCUGAGCUGAGGGGUGCAGGGAGACAUCCACAAAUAGAGAUUGCCUUGACUUCAGUACAGAAGCUGGAGCUGGAGGUUGCUCAGCUGAUGGCUUCCUUCCCGUCGACUCUGACUGCCUGACUCCUUAAAGCCUUCCCAUGGGUUUUGCCCACAUUCCCAGCACUGGUGUGGGAUCCAUGCAGCCUGAUGUGCACGGGGCUUUGUGCUCUGAGUGAUGCUCAUGUCUGUGCCGGGAGAGCUGCUGCACUGCUGGAGGCAAUGAGGUUUCCUCGUUGCACUGGUGAAGUUAGGUUAUUCAGACAAAUUUGGCUUCUUGUUUGUUUUUAUCCCAAGGAACAGCUCAGCCAGGUAAUAGGCAUCACACAAUCUAUUUCAGUAACAAGCCAAAACCCAAAUCCCAGCUUGUUUUUCUUCCUUCAGGGCUCUUUGUUAGUGUCCAAACAAUGACUUUGAAGCUCCGCUUCCACAGCAGUAAGAGAUGAUCAGUUGUGUUUUUCAAAGUAUUCUUUUUUCCUUAUUUAUAUAACCUUGUCACUCAGGUGUAACCUUCCCCAUAUCUUCCUUUAAUAAACAGCAGUGUGGCAAUCCUGCUCGUCUGCUCUAAGACCUCCUACUCCUCGCUUUUGGAGCGAUGUGGUGGUGUUAUUCUCACUUUGGGGUUACUCAGCAGCUGUAUGACCUGGGGUAAUGCUGCAGUGCUAUGUCAUGAUGAGGACACCAACCUGAGUGGCAUCUUCUCCUCAGGCCUUACCUGGAAACAGCUUUCUGCAAAGUAAUGUUCAGCUCCUGCUUGCGUACUGAUGGCUCAUUGGUCAUAUGUCUGCCCAGACCUGUCCAGAUGUAACGCUCUGGCUCUCUUAAUCUCAUCCAGAGGUGCUGCAUCUCACCAGCUUAUGCUGAACACUGCUGAAUGAGCCCUCAGACCCCUCCCCAGUCUUCCUCCUUGAUUUGCCUCUGAUACCAUGGUUAUCAUUCAGGUCAGCAUCCCUUUGCUGCUUUUGACUUGGAUUUCCCUCUGGGUCCUGAUGUUUAAACUACUGAAUUUUGCAGUCUUUCUGCCUGAAAUGCAAAAAAUAAAACCUCAGCCCUUCUGAUCCACCUGUGCAGGCUGGGUGCUGGUGCCUGUUAGUGUACUUGAGCCUGAUGGUUCCUUCUGGUGCUACCAGGUGAGCACAGCACAGGAAGGCUUUGAUACCUGCAGUAGGUCUGGAGCUUGGCCAACUGGCUGCAGGUUUGAUGUGGGCUUGUUCAUGGAUGCCUUUAAGCCAACCCAGAUUUCGUCAUUAACUGUGCUUCCAGACCAACAGAAAACCUGGAGAAGUACCACAGAUCUCUUCUUCCCCUCACAAAGACGUUUUUGGUGAGCUCAGACAUGCCAGAAACUUGGGAAUGGGCUCUCUGCUGCUGCCCCAUCCUUGCCUUUGGCCUCAGUGUUGCAGUCCUGCCCUGUUCACCUCAGCUGAGAUGUUCCUCUAAUCUUGUUUCUGCCUACUUGCUGUGACCAUCUCUGCCUACGUGUCCAUCCCUCUCACAGUGCUGCAGUGCCAGAAAAGCUAUUGUCUUUGAUUCUGAUGACUCUCCAAGUGUAUUCCUUCCCUGAUGACCGUGUGUGCCCUUGAUUACCAUCUCUGCAGCCAAGCUAUGACAAACUACGUGCUAGAUUCCUUAUGCUGGUCCUUUACUCUAAUGCUUUUCUCCCACAAACCUUGAUCCCAGGCAGCAUGCUAUACAGUGGGAUGAUUGCCCAUAGGGCAGCUCAGCUUCCUUGAUCUUACUGCUUUCCUCCUACCUUGCCCUGAGGGCAGCAGAUUGUAGGGGAUGAGGUCUGUGCAAGAAGUCGGUGCUCCUUGUGCUGCCCUCAGCCAGUGCAAGCUCAAGAUCUACUCCCUUGAUGCUGUCCCAUUAACUUUGCAUGUAGCACCCCCAUCUGCUAAGGAAAAGGUUUGCUUUGCUUGGUUCCUUGAGUAUCUGGCACAGCUGAGUCACACACCAGUUUUCAGACACUAGUGCAAGUAAUUACUAUUUGCAUCCCAGGGAAAAUUGUCUCCUGUUGGCAAAAGCUUCUCCUGUUGGUGUGGGAGAGAAAUGGGGUGUGCUGGACAGUGGCUGCGGCCCAGAUCACUCUGGCUUGCUUUCUCUGCACCCAACAGACUUUGUUAGCGGCCCUCAGUCCCUACAAUUGCAAAGUGGAUCAGCUGAGGCUGUGGAAACUGGGUCACGUUACUGAGGAGGAAUACAAAAGGACAGUGUGUGAGCCUGGCAGGACAGAACCAAAAGGCCAAGGCACAGAAUGAUUACAGAACCAGGAAGAACACAGGAUGAAAGGAAGCUACAGUAUGGGUGUAUCAGAUGCAAGAGGAAGGCAGGGAAGUGCUGGUCCCCUCCUCAGUGAGGAGGGAAGGCUGUGGAUGAAAUGUGGAGCAUGCUACAGUGUUUCAUGAUGAAUUUCCUUCAGCUUCAAUUAAACUGCCUGGCAGCCAACACAGAAGAAUGCAAGAAAAAGAAUGUGGACUGUUCUGAAAUCAGCUAGGUGCAGAGAAUGUCACUGUAGGGUGUGUAGAGAAAAGGCUGGAACAGUCCUCAGAGCUGCUCACUACUAUCUUUGAGACCUUAAGAAGAAUGAGGGAUGUUGUAGGAAUACAAGGAAAACUGUUAAGAGCAGCAGCUAUGAAGUAAGAUAAACAGCAUGAGAACCAAGGCCACCUCUGGAAGAAGAGAAAAAGCAGAAGGAACGGCUGGUGGCUGUGAUUGGAUAAGUGCCUGCAUGCACGGUUAGGGAGUGCUUGUAGAAUACCCUGUUGUCAUGUAAAGGUGGAUGGGGAAGCUAAGAAAGGAAACUUGUGAAUGUAUAUAAGCGAUGUGAGAAUUUGUAAUAAACAAUUUGGAUCGUUCACAUCUGAGUCCGUGCAUCAGAUGCUGCAAGAUGUGUCCUGGUGAAGACCAAAAAUAAUCCCUUAAAGUGGGGGUAAGGAGGCUCCAGAAAGGUGCAGACCAGUGAGUUUAAUUUGCUCUAGUGUUUUCCUGGAAAGUUGGCACAAAAUGAGGUCAGCAGCACUGUGUUUGAGCCACUCUUAAAUCAUCAGCAUCAUCCGCUGUUAUGGUGCAAAGAGAAACAGUGGAUAUGGUGUAACCUGGUUUUAAUUAAGCAUUUUUUUGUUGUUGUUCGCUUGUAUUUUCAUAAAGAAAAUGCAUCAGAAGGAAUUACCACUUGGUGGUUGUCAACUGGUUGGAAAACCAUGCUGGAAAGUUGUUUCAUGUCAAAACAGAAGGCUGUGUAAAGUGG
rnacentral:lncRNA from 1 species